GACGAACGCUGGCGGCGUGCUUAACACAUGCAAGUCGAACGGAAAGGCCCUGCUUUUGUGGGGUGCUCGAGUGGCGAACGGGUGAGUAACACGUGAGUAACCUGCCCUUGACUUUGGGAUAACUUCAGGAAACUGGGGCUAAUACCGGAUAGGAGCUCCUGCUGCAUGGUGGGGGUUGGAAAGUUUCGGCGGUUGGGGAUGGACUCGCGGCUUAUCAGCUUGUUGGUGGGGUAGUGGCUUACCAAGGCUUUGACGGGUAGCCGGCCUGAGAGGGUGACCGGCCACAUUGGGACUGAGAUACGGACCAGACUCCUACGGGCGGCAGCAGUGGGGAAUAUUGCACAAUGGGCGGAAGCCUGAUGCAGCAACGCCGCGUGCGGGAUGACGGCCUUCGGGGUGUAAACCGCUUUCGCCUGUGACGAAGCGUGAGUGACGGUAAUGGGUAAAGAAGCACCGGCUAACUACGUG
rnacentral:rRNA from 1 species